rnacentral:tRNA from 1 species
CGCGGGAUGGAGCAGUGGUUAGCUCGCUGGGCUCAUAACCCAGAGGUCGUUGGUUCAAAUCCUUCUCCCGCAACCA